rnacentral:rRNA from 1 species
CCUACGGGGGGCAGCAGUGGGGAAUAUUGGACAAUGGGCGAAAGCCUGAUCCAGCCAUGCCGCGUGUGUGAAGAAGGCCUUUUGGUUGUAAAGCACUUUAAGCGGGGAGGAGGGCUCUGUGGUUAAUACCCAUAGAAGUCGGACGUUACCCGCAGAAUAAGCACCGGCUAACUCUGUGCCAGCAGCCGCGGUAAUACAGAGGGUGCGAGCGUUAAUCGGAAUUACUGGGCGUAAAGCGCGCGUAGGCGGCUUGUUAAGUCGGAUGUGAAAUCCCUGGGCUCAACCUAGGCAUUGCAUACGAUACUGGCAAGCUAGAGUAUGGGAGAGGAAGGUAGAAUUCCAGGUGUAGCGGUGAAAUGCGUAGAGAUCUGGAGGAAUACCGAUGGCGAAGGCAGCCUUCUGGCCUAAUACUGACGCUGAGGUGCGAAAGCAUGGGGAGCAAACAGGAUUAGAUACCCCUGUAGUC